ensembl:lncRNA
GGGUGGGCGAGGGUGGCAAUGUCCCAAUUAUAUACAUAUCUAGUAGGGAAUCCACCCCAGAGAGGGGGUGGCCUGAUUGGGCUGGUCUAAAAAGCACAAACCCGCCCAUAACAGCACAGUCUCUGCCUAACUGCUCACAAUCACAGUUUUACUACCAGUGAGCUGCACUGGGACGCCAAGGAGCUUGCUGGGAGGCUGAUGUUUGCCAAGGAAAUAAAAACAGGGGGUACAUAUUAUUUCCCCUUCAUCCUGAUAGGGAGAUAGAAUGAUUUGGGGCCAGUGCUUCCAACGAGCCCAGCGGGGCCUGCUUCCCUUCACUGCAACCCCUCACACAGGGUUGGCUCUCUGCCCUUGCCACCCUCCACCAAGCACCCAGGGUGGCACCUGUCAACCAUCCGUCUCCAGACAAACCCAGAGACCUAGCCGAGCAGCCUGGGAGGGUGAAGCUUGGUCUGGAGGAAGUCAACCCUCUUCUUGGGGCCCUCGUGGCUGCAUGGGGGUAUCUGUGCACAUAUGCUGCGACCUGGGGAGCUUGGAGGGCAUGUCUGGCGUCCAGCCUGGGUUGCCCUCUGCCCUAGGACCUGUCUCACAAGGACAGGUCCUAUCUAUCUCCAAGCUGGAGGAGUCUGCUAGCUUCCUUCAACAAAACCCGAUUCCAAACACUGACACCAGAUUCCAAAAACCAACCCAAAAGAAAAGUGAAAAGGCACCUCAGAGAAACAAUAAAUAUCACCAAAGAAAAGAUCGCUUAAUACUUACAAACAUACAGCAAACACAAAGUAAAAAACCCAAUCUAAGCAAAAAUGUGAAAAGGCACCUCAGAGAAACAAUAAAUAUCACCAAAGAAAAGAUCGCUUAAUACUUACAAACAUACAGCAAACACAAAGUAAAAAACCCAAUCUAAGCAAAAAUGUGAAAAGCUUCUCCAAUUGUGCAUGUGCAAAUCAAACUGCAUACCAGAAAUAAAUGAGGUGUUUACUGGCAUGAGAAGUGUGUUUUCCCUUUCAGGAAUUUUUACUCCUGAAAGUGUUUACAUUUCAAAGGAAAGCUUUCUCUCCUUUAAUAAAUUAAACCUUUUCCCUCAAGUUUUUUAAGAACUUAGGAUCACAGUGGAGGAAAAAUAAAUCCAAACUUUUAGGAAAAAAUGUACAAAAAACUAAAAAACCAGGCAAGAGGUGAGAGAUGCUCAGAGCACAGGAAGACGCUAGUCCUGACUGGGGAUAUCUCUUCCUGUGGAACUGUCAUCAAUUACAAGGUGGUUCAGGAGUCUAUCAAGAUUGGCACUGGCAAAACCACCCAAGGCUUCUAGCCCACACCCUGAAAGGCGCCUUCCUCUCGCAUAGCAGGCAGCAAUUGCAGCCCUUCCUGCACAGGGCAGAUGGAGGCCCCACCCUAAUGUCCUCUGGGGUCACUGACCAGACUGGGGCCAAGUCUGUGGAGGCCUGGGAACCAGUAUACACUUGGUGUCACCCCCUCUGCCCUCAACAACUGGAGUGUGGGUUUCUUUGCACCAGGAGCAGCAGCCACGUCACCCCACCCCGGGGCAGAACUCUGGCUUACUUCCGGUCAGUACUGGGAUGGGGGGAGCAAGAAGGAUCUUAAGGUGGGGAAGUGCUCCCUGGGCUGCCUGACUGAGGGUCCUGGCGUAGAGAAGAGGAAUUCUUGAGAAGGCAGAGAGUCCCUGAGCUCAGGGGCAGCCGGCAAACAAUCCCUGCAGCUUUUGGAACACAAGCCCGGCACAGCGUGUUUCUGAGAACCGGGCUUUCCAACCUCCUUGCUUUCAGAGUUCCUGUGCUUGUUCUAACGGAUCUCUGCCAGAUGGGUUAGUCUGGCAAAGCGUGGGAAACUGGUCUCGGCCCGCAGGCUCUCUGCUGGUCAAACACGGGAACGCACAUCCUCAGCACCAGAAACGGCCAGAAGGGCCCAGGAGAGGCAGCACUGGCCCAGGAACUGCUGGUCUGGGCGCUAAAGCGAAUUCUUCUAGGAAGGCUGCAGCCAGGAGGCCCAUUCAUAGGAAAUAGUGGUUCCCGACAGCAGGGAUGGCAGCUGUUUCCUCCCCCUGCAGGAAACUGUCCUCGUGAAGCACUCAAAAGCACACGGGCACUCACACCGUCUUGCCCAAUUUCCUUUUAACUUCUGCCCUUGUUUCUAUUCUCAGCCAGUUUGUGAGGAGUGGGCCCUGGCAUCCAUGCUCAGCGCGGAGGCUUCCCCAUCAGAAUUCUCCCUGGCACGGGUACUCAGGGGCCACCUAUGGGGUGGGGGAGAUCCUGGCUGCCCUAACUCCCCCACUCCAUUCUCUAAGAUCCACUGAGGUUAGUCUAAGGAAAGAAGGCCGGCUGUGCAUUUGAUAUUAAUUUUAUACCCAAGAAGAAGAAUCGAGGAGUGGGUGGAAUCUGACCUCCCAUCCCUCACAGCCCCACACUCCUCCUGGGUGGGCCUCAGACUUGAGAAUUCUAACCUGAACCUUGCGUCCCGGAGGCUCACCCAGCCAUUAGCUGUGUCCAGCUUUUCUGUUCAGCAACCAAGCCACUCAGAAUCUUUAGUGAGGGCUGGGUGGCUCAUGGGACAGCUUUCAAGGGGGACAUUCUGCCAGGGAGAAGGGAGCUCACUCUUACCAGCACGGAGAUGCCAAGGGGCAUCACAGGAAACACACACACACACACGCUAAGCACUGAAGCACGGCGUGGGGGGAGGGGAGUGGAAGGGGCUGGGGGAACUUGCCCAAGAGCAGAGCACAGGGACUCCAGGGUUUGGUCCAACCUGCUGACCAGUUCAACACCCUCCUCCCCAGUAUUUCUGCCUGGAGUAAAAACCAGUAUCAGAUUCCUACCCCUUGCAAACCACACCCACACUCAUAGUCAGCAGCCAAGACAGUGCACAUUCAUCCUGGCCUGCCCUUGCUCCCCCAGCAAACAUCAAAAGUUCACUGAGAGCCCCAUCCCCUGGACUUUGGUGACAUCGGACGGAGUGAAAUAACACAAGCCCAGCUCAGGUGAUGCCACUAGUUCUUAGGGACCAGCUUCAUCCCUGUCCAAAUCGCAGUUCAAAGACACCCCUUCUCAAGGGGGUAAAGAGCACCCCUCCACGUGCAAGGGUAGCUUUUAAUCCUAACCGGAAAUGACAGCCCAGCUGUGUGGGGUGUGUCCCACCGUGGGGGGUGUGAUGGAACAGAGGAAGGAGCCUGUCACUGCAAAGCAGCCCAUCUCUGGUCCCUGCUGGGUUCUCUGGGCCACACAGGCAUUUCCCCGGACAACCAAGGGGUGCCUAUCCCCUAGCCUCUGCCACCUGCUAAGCACAAGGAAUUUAUUUUCUUCUGCCACCAUCCACUUUGAGGAGCUAGGUACCCACAGCUGCCCUUAAUCAUGCCACUAGCCCCACGGUGCACCCUGCCCAAAGCAGACAACAGUCAUAUUAUAGUGAAGAGGGAUGGCCAACAGAGGAAAAUCAGAGAAGUAGCAAGACGCGCAAUCAAUCCCUCUUUGCCCUCCCCAGCUCCCCCUCCCUCCCUCCCAAAUAAAUAAAUUAAUGGGUUUAGGAAUGUUCCCGUAGGAAGUUCUUUCCGACUAGCUCAACUCCUCCUCUGGUUUUGUUUUGUUUAAACGAAUAUUGAGAUUCUUUUUUUAUCCUGGAGCAGCUGCACAGUCUCCCUACAGUAGCUCCUCCAAAAUUAAAGACAAAGUUGUGCCAGGGAGAAGCCAGGUUCCCGGCCUGAGGUUGGCUCCACUGUGAUGCUCUGACUGCAGCGGGACCAGUACCAAAUCGAGACCUUUCACCAAAAUGUUCAGGCUCUGGGGAGAGUCCCUGAAUUGCGUCUGUGUCCCUGCCCCACCCUGAUGGGGCGGGAGCCACUGUCUCCCCCCUGCAGAGCAUAGGCGCGGGUGGAGUGGUGGCCGCUAUAGACAGUCUUUACAGAGAGCCACCUGGCCCUUGAUGAAGUCCCGGCAGGGGCAGAUCCUCCGGUGGCGGGCGUGGGCACCAGCACAGCUGAACAGCAGGAGGUCGCCUUGAAACACACAGUGCUUGUUCUUGGGGUCGAAGGAGGCGCCACGAUGUCCUUGGCCAGCUCUGAGCUUUGGCAGUUCACAUCGUACCUGAAGAGAAAGAGGAAGGGGUUGGAGAGGCAGGGACUGUCCUCAGCCCUGGCCCCUUCUGCUGCCCUCCAGUGGGGAAGGCUGUUUGGGGCUCCUGUUGGCCACCCUCUGACCCAGCCAUCCUCACUUCUGGGAACCCGGGCUCGAGAAGGGCGUGCAAACGCCUGGAUGCGCAUGUGGGUGCGGUAUGUGUUCAAGGCUGGAGAAGAACCAGAAAUAACCUGAAGACUCAGCACGUGGGGAAUGGCUGGAUCCCCUGUGGCUCAGCUGUGUUAUCAGCACACGCAGCACUUGACAAGGAGGUAGGAAUGUGAGCACCAGCAUGAGAGCAAGUAAUAACAGGGGGUGCAGUGUAUCCACGU